rnacentral:rRNA from 1 species
CAGCCGCCGCGGUAAAACGAAGGGGGCUAGCGUUGCUCGGAAUGACUGGGCGUAAAGGGCGCGUAGGCGGCGGCCAAAGUCAGGCGUGAAAUUCCCGGGCUCAACCUGGGGGCUGCGUUUGAUACUUGGUUGCUUGAGUGGGGAAGAGGGUCGUGGAAUUCCCAGUGUAGAGGUGAAAUUCGUAGAUAUUGGGAAGAACACCGGUGGCGAAGGCGGCGACCUGGUCCUUUACUGACGCUGAGGCGCGAAAGCGUGGGGAGCAAACAGGAUUAGAUACCCCAGUAGUCCCUGUCUCUUAUAC